CUUCUAACAUCUUUGUUUUUUUUUUUUUAAUUCCACUUUGUAUUUUAUUUGUGGAUAGAUUAAAGAUUACUUGGUUAAAGAUUGCUUAAAAUACUUAGGUGAGCAGAAUCUGUGUUGUUUGUUUAUUUGCUUAAAUAUAUAUAUAUUUGUGUAUGUAAUGUGUAUUUAUAUACUGUACGUACAGUAUGUAUAUAUGAAGUAUGCUUUUAUUUGUGAAAGUAGAAUUAAUUGGAUUUUGAUGUGUGUAGUGUUUUUGGUUAAUUAAAAGCCAACGUCUGAAAGAAGGAAGGGAUAAAAGCUAAUUUGCAGUAUUGUUAGGAAAUCUGCAGUAGUGUACAUACUUCAUGGCUCGUUUGGGUAUAACUAGAAUUGCUGAAAGAAGAAAAAGGAUUGUGGCUGCUUUGACUGUUUUUUUAGAGAUGUAUACUGCUGUUAGUGCUUUAGUACUUUUAAUGGCAUCAACAACAUCUCUCAAUAGUUAUAGGCCAAGCAUUAAGCACUAUUCUCUUGAUAGUUAUUACAAAAGAGAGUACGUUCAACGAAUUUUGAAUAAUAACGAGUUAUGCAUUUCACUAC